rnacentral:lncRNA from 1 species
AUGUGUCUUUCUUGUGCAACAGGCCUCAGAGGAUCUAUGGCUAGCCAUUUAUGCACCUCCAGUGCUAGGCCAGACAUCUCCAAGCUUCCCCAGAGGAGGGUAAUUGCUGGAUUAGGCCAAAGAACAAACCUGAAGCAACUUCUCAAGGGCACGCAGCAACUGGUGGAAGAGCUCUGCAGUUGGAUGUCAGAUUUGUUUACCUUAGGCAUCUUCCAUCUUCGCCACCACUGCUGAAUCAGUCUUCCUUUAUGAAGCACGAUGUCCCCUUUGCAGUAGCAUAGAAGCUCCAGAGAGGACAGACUGCUAUUCUUGUUCAUGAACAAGAUGUGUUUGCCACAGCCAGCCAUUUCCUGUUGCAAGUCUUUGCACUUCAGGGAAGGACUCUAGCCACUGCAGCACAUGUGGACGUGGAGCACUGUCAGAUGUGUUGGACUGAACAGCGAGAAGAUGGCCAUCCAUAUACAGUGUGGAAGCUUUGGCUUACGGUAAGUCAGAGCUCUUAAUAUUGUUUUACCACAUUUUUUGAGCUUCAUAUUUAAUUCAGGUCAAAUCUGAACUACUAAACAGAACUGUUCCUUAGUGUACGUACUGGAUAAAUAAAGUGCAGUUUUAGUAUAGCUCUGACCUAGUU